CAGAUUUCUUUAGGAAUAAGAGAUAACACAUAUUUUCCCAUAAUAUGUAACUCUUGGUUCCAUAUAUCUGAAAGUCUGAAAUUGUUUCAUAACUUCUUUGGUUUAAAUGAAAAACAAAGGUAAAUAUGCUUUAGGAAGCACUGAAUGAGGCAAUAUAAAAUACUAUCUUUCACCAAUUGAAUUAUUUUAAAAUAAUUUCCAAACAUAAAAAUUCAAAUUUUAUCAACCUUUAGUUGUGGGAUUCUCUAAUGGAGUGAAACAAAGGGCUUUAUUCCCAUUAACUUUCUCCAGAAAAUAAUGCAACAGAUCAGCAUCCUUAGAUGUGCAAUAUUGACGCAUUUGAUCUCAAUCUCUUUUUUCUCUGGCUUGCUUUUAAUUUAAUUAGUUUUAAGCCUUAAGCUUUUAAAAGUGAAAUCAAUCAGAAGGCGAGAGUGUAGAGAAUCAUGUUCCAACGCUUCUCAUGUAAAUUCAAAUUUUAGAUUCUUCUUUGGAGUAAAACAGGCUCCUCACUGUCUACAAGCUUAUUUCUGAGUUACAAAAAUUCUCUCCAUGUUUUUCCCUAUCUUAUCAUGUUUUCCUCCUGCAUUCUCGUACUCAGUCUGGGCUGCCAGAGGACACUUUUUUCUUGCAUCUGGAAAUUUAAGCAGCAGACAACUUAUUUAAGCAGACAGUAAUGUCUCCAGGUCUGUCAAAUAGAUGCAUUUUCAAUCUUCCAGUACUUUCAAAGAAGACAGAAUCUUGGAAUACAUUUCCAUAAAGGGUAAGGAGCAUAAUGUUAUUCAGAGCAUUUAGCAAGUAAUACCUGCCUCAUACUUAUUGGACUUUAAUUCUCCUAGAAAUAAAAUAUAGGGAACAUUUUAAUCAGAGAAAAACUUGUCAUGAUCUUAGCAAUCCAUCCCCCCCCUCAAUGUUUCUCUUCUUCCCAGUCUUUCAAUUUUCCAAAA
rnacentral:lncRNA from 1 species